UACGUAGGGUGCAAGCGUUGUCCGGAAUUAUUGGGCGUAAAGAGCUCGUAGGCGGUUUGUCACGUCGGAUGUGAAAACUCGGGGCUUAACCCCGAGCCUGCAUUCGAUACGGGCUGACUAGAGUACGGCAGGGGAGACUGGAAUUCCUGGUGUAGCGGUGAAAUGCGCAGACAUCAGGAGGAACACCGGUGGCGAAGGCGGGUCUCUGGGCCGAUACUGACGCUGAGGAGCGAAAGCGUGGGGAGCGAACAGG
rnacentral:rRNA from 1 species